GGACGACCUGGAGAGGUCUGUUGCCUGAAUGAGAGUCACUGAGUUUACACUGCAGGAGAGCAGCUCCCAAGACCAAGGCCCUGCGAUUCCCAGAGGCCGUCGGACUGCCGCAUCCCUUGGCGUGAACGGUGGGCGUGGAGAAGGACCCAGAGUCUGGAGCCUACAUCCUGGAGGACUGUGGCCCUGAACUUUGGUUAAACACAAACAAGCCCCAAGAAAAGGGAAAGCGAAAACCAGAGGCACUGGAGGAAUCACAACAAAAAGCACCUUGAGAAGCACCUACAAGACAGCAGCGCAGCGUGGCCAGCUCCCUGCCUCAAGCACCAGGCAGGCUAACCCAGGUUCCGAGAGGGGGCAGGUCAACACUGGAUAAAAUAAACUCCAGGAGGCCGGGCACAGUGGCUUACGCCUGUAAUCCCAGCACUUUGGGAGGCCGAGGCGGGUGGAUCACUCAAGGUCAGGAGUUCAAGACCAGCCUGGCCAACAUGGUGAAACCCCAUGUCUACUAAAAUACAAAAAUUAGCCAGGUGUGGUGGUGGGCACCUGUAAUCCCAGCUACUCGGGAGACUGAGGCAGGAGAAUCACCUGAACCCAGGAGGCAGAGGUUGCAGUGAGCCAAGAUCGUACCAUUGCACUCUAGCCUAGGUGACAGAGCAAGACUCCAUCUCAAAAAAAAAAAAAAAAAAAAGGAAACUCAAGGAAAGGAAAUGCAAAGGGUGGAGAGAGGAAGAAAAAUGUUGUUUACCAAACCAAGGCUGGUUCCAGAACUCCAGCUGAUAUAGCCCAGACUUCUAAUCCAAAAGGAAGACCGUUCUGGCCAGACAGGUGGUCACCAUUAGAUUCUUACUGCUUGACCCAACAGGUGCAGAGGCGUGUCUGUGUCUGUCUGUGUAAGAACACGUUUGAAUGCUGUACAAGGCACAUAUGUGAACAUUGUACCACAUGUACAGCUUUCAAACAUGCUCUUAUAUUCUCCCAGCCCUUUAGGGGGAAUGUCUCCUACAUACAUUUAUGCUUUGUGCCUUCCUACUUAUGAAAUUAACCCAUCAUUGUCACACUUGCUGAUAUGCACGCUGUAUGCCCAUAGCAUGCCAGGGUCUGUAUACAGUGCAACCUUGUAGUUUCAAUGCAGUGAUAACAUAUCCCUCACAUUUGUAAUCAUGGGUUAUUCUUUGAUUACAAGGAUUAAUUCCAAGAUUCCAAGAUU